rnacentral:rRNA from 1 species
GAUGAACGCUGGCGGCGUGCCUAAUACAUGCAAGUCGAGCGAACGGACGAGAAGCUUGCUUCUCUGAUGUUGGCGGCGGAAGGGUGAGUAACACGUGGCUAACCUACCUAUAAGACUGGGAUAACUUCGGGAAACCGGAGCUAAUACCGGAUAAUAUUUUGAACCGCAUGGUUCAAAAGUGAAAGACGGUCUUGCUGUCACUUAUAGAUGGAUCCGCGCUGCAUUAGCUAGUUGGUAAGGUAACGGCUUACCAAGGCAACGAUGCAUAGCCGACCUGAGAGGGUGAUCGGCCACACUGGAACUGAGACACGGUCCAGACUCCUACGGGAGGCAGCAGUAGGGAAUCUUCCGCAAUGGGCGAAAGCCUGACGGAGCAACGCCGCGUGAGUGAUGAAGGUCUUCGGAUCGUAAAACUCUGUUAUUAGGGAAGAACAUAUGUGUAAGUAACUGUGCACAUCUUGACGGUACCUAAUCAGAAAGCAACGGCUAACUACGUG